AUACGUAGGGGGCGAGCGUUGUCCGGAAUGAUUGGGCGUAAAGGGCGCGUAGGCGGCCCGGUAAGUCUGGAGUGAAAGUCCUGUUUUUAAGAUGGGAAUUGCUUUGGAUACUGUCGGGCUUGAGUGCAGGAGAGGUAAGUGGAAUUCCCAGUGUAGCGGUGAAAUGCGUAGAGAUUGGGAGGAACACCAGUGGCGAAGGCGACUUACUGGACUGUAACUGACGCUGAGGCGCGAAAGUGUGGGGAGCAAACAGGAUUAGAUACCCUGGUAGUCCACACCGUAAACGAUGAAUGCUAGGUGUAGGGGGUAUCGACCCCUUCUGUGCCGCAGUCAACACAAUAAGCAUUCCGCCUGGGGAGUACGGCCGCAAGGUUGAAACUCAAAUGAAUUGACGGGG
rnacentral:rRNA from 1 species